UACGGAGGAUGCGAGCGUUAUCCGGAUUUAUUGGGUUUAAAGGGUGCGUAGGCGGCGAGUUAAGUCAGCGGUAAAAGCCCGGGGCUCAACCCCGGCCCGCCGUUGAAACUGGCGUUCUUGAGUGGAAGAGAAGUAUGCGGAAUGCGUGGUGUAGCGGUGAAAUGCAUAGAUAUCACGCAGAACCCCGAUUGCGAAGGCAGCAUACCGGCGCCCGACUGACGCUGAGGCACGAAAGUGCGGGUAUCGAACAGG
rnacentral:rRNA from 1 species